CUCCCAACCUCUUCUUUUUUCUCCUUUUGUUUUACCUGUUUCAUGCACCAGCGUCAGAGAGCAUCGCGAUUCCGCUCGGAACUCGCCAGUUUUCCGCGUUAAUUGCCGCAUUAUCGCGACCUGUUGUUCUUCACCCCUUUCCCUCUGUAUCCACCCUGUGAUACGAGCUUGUUUCGUGUAUACGCUGUAGCAUCCCGAGAGACGCAACGCCUAGGUAUACGGCGGAUCAAACACUCGGCUAUUAUUCCUCUCAGGACUAAGACUAGUUUUGGAUACGUUAAUCUGUAUUCA
rnacentral:misc_RNA from 1 species